GAACAACAACCCGGACCAUCUUUUUCGGCGAACACGGAAACGAAUCCAAAAGAGCAUUGUAAAGCGAUAACGACGAGAAGUGGAAGGGAGUUGGUUAGUGAGAGUAAAAAAAGAAAUGAGAGUGAAAAAAAAAGAGGAAGAAAAAAAAGAUGAGGAGAAAAAAAUAGAGGAUAGUAUUGAUGGUGAAGUUGGGGAGUGGAGUGAGGAAGAAGUUGAAAAGGACAAAAAAAAU
rnacentral:lncRNA from 1 species